AUGGGAACGCGAAGAACCUUACCUAGACUUGACAUCUCCUGAAUAGUGUAGAGAUACAUGAAGCCCUUCGGGGCGAGGAAGACAGGUGGUGCAUGGUUGUCGUCAGCUCGUGUCGUGAGAUGUUGGGUUAAGUCCCGCAACGAGCGCAACCCUUAUUACUAGUUGCUACCAUUAAGUUGAGCACUCUAGUGAGACUGCCCGGGUUAACCGGGAGGAAGGUGGGGAUGACGUCAAAUCAUCAUGCCCCUUAUGUCUAGGGCAACACACGUGCUACAAUGGUGGGAACAAAGAGAUGCAAUACCGCAAGGUGGAGCUAAACUCUAAAACUCAUCCCAGUUCGGAUUGUAGGCUGCAACUCGCCUACAUGAAGUUGGAGUUGCUAGUAAUCGCGAAUCAGAAUGUCGCGGUGAAUACGUUCCCGGGUCUUGUACACACCG
rnacentral:rRNA from 1 species